ensembl:snRNA U7 U7 small nuclear RNA
AAGUGUUGCAGUUGUUUUAGAUUUUGUCCAGAAGGUUUUCUGGUUUCUGCUAGAGAACAUCA